CAAUAGCGUAUAUUUAAGUUGCUGCAGUUAAAAAGCUCGUAGUUGGAUUUCGGGUGGGAAUGGCCGGUCCGCCGUUUCGGUGUGCACUUGCUACGCCCACCUUGCUGCCGGGGACGUGCUCUUGAGUUCAAGCUCGGGACACGGAGUCGGCGAGGUUACUUUGAGUAAAUUAGAGUGUUCAAAGCAGGCCUACGCUCUGAAUACAUUAGCAUGGAAUAACACGAUAGGACUCUGGCCUAUCUUGUUGGUCUGUAGGACCGGAGUAAUGAUUAAGAGGGACAGUCGGGGGCAUUCGUAUUUCAUUGUCAGAGGUGAAAUUCUUGGAUUUAUGAAAGACGAACUACUGCGAAAGCAUUUGCCAAGGAUGUUUUCAUUAA
rnacentral:rRNA from 1 species